UUCAGAUUUGACUUAGUGGCGGACGGGUGAGUAAUGCAUGAGCAACCUGCCCUGCAGUGGGGGACAACAGUUGGAAACGACUGCUAAUACCGCAUGAUGUAUCUGGAAGGCAUCUUCCGGAUACCAAAGAUUUAUCGCUGUGGGAUGGGCUCAUGUCUGAUUAGGUAGUUGGUGAGGUAACGGCCCACCAAGCCGACGAUCGGUAGCCGACCUGAGAGGGUGAUCGGCCACAUUGGGACUGAGACACGGCCCAAACUCC
rnacentral:rRNA from 1 species